AGAGUUUGAUCCUGGCUCAGAGCGAACGCUGGCGGCGUGCCUAACACAUGCAAGUCGAACGGUAAGGCCCCUUCGGGGGUACACGAGUGGCGAACGGGUGAGUAACACGUGAGCAACCUGCCCUUGACACCGGAAUAACAGUUGGAAACAGCUGCUAAUGCCGGAUACGACCUCCGAUGGCAUCAUCUGGAGGUGGAAAGUGAUUCAGCGGUCAAGGAUGGGCUCGCGGCCUAUCAGCUUGUUGGUGAGGUAACGGCUCACCAAGGCUUCGACGGGUAGCCGGCCUGAGAGGGCGACCGGCCACACUGGGACUGAGAUACGGCCCAGACUCCUACGGGAGGCAGCAGUGGGGAAUAUUGCACAAUGGGCGCAAGCCUGAUGCAGCAACGCCGCGUGCGGAAUGACGGCCUUCGGGUUGUAAACCGCUUUCAGUUCCGACGAAGCGCAAGUGACGGUAGGAACAGAAGAAGGACCGGCCAACUACGUGCCAGCAGCCGCGGUAAU
rnacentral:rRNA from 1 species